CAUAUACGAACGAUAUUUGUAUAUAUUAAAUAUGUGCUCUGCAUUCAAAGCGUUCGCAUCGUGUGACGGUAUUGUUAGUAUAAACAAAUGCUUUCAUAUGAUUUUUAGCAUCGUUCUGUUUUACAUUCUCAAUUCUAAAGUGACGCAGCAAAAUAUUUGAAUUUCGUUGUCAAUAUUGGAAGUAUUUCACCACAUUGUACAAUCGAUGUUCAUAUUGAGCUGAUGGGAUAAAGAUUCCAAUCGUUGCCUUUAUAAAGGUAUUAAUACAUCGAAAUAUUGUUCAAAUAUAUAAUGGAGACUCUGUCAUAAUAAAAUCAACUAAUAAUUUUCAUUAGAAUCAUAAUGGCAAAAAGGCGAGGGCUUAAAAUUGUUGGCGGUGUUCCGAGAAAGAAAGCAAAACAAGAAAGAAAAUGUCGAAAUACGAACACGUAAAGUACCCGCCAACUCAAUAUUCAGAGAUGAAUAUGCAGACUACCUCGUCGGUCACUUUUUUUAUUAAAACUAAUGGGAAAAGAGAAAUUCGUCAAAUUUUCACCGCUGUGGCACGCACCAAUGGUGAAUUUACAAAUCAAAUGCCAGACGAGUUUAUUGAAAUGGUCGAGGAAUUGACUAACAACGAAUUUGAGUGGCCAUCUCGUGACCUGAUGGGAAAUGCAUUUGAGUAUAUGCAUCAACAAUACCUCAGCAAUGUGACAACAUAGCAUACCACACAUUGUGAGAAGGAAUUGGCGUACUUCUUGCAAAUGAAGCGCUACCAAUUCAAUCAGGAACCGUACAGAUUAUUCAAAUUUGAUGACAUCGAUAUCCGAAACGCAAUCGAAAGCAUUAUGCGCAAUAAAGACUGAAGUGAAGGCGAUCCAGUUCGAAAAUUCAAAAUGAAUGAGGUAGGCUGUUUGUUGCGGUGAAAGAACGUUGUUUACCAUCAUUUGGCGAUUAUCUCACAAUGACUCAAUACAUCGAGAAAAAGUGGUUUGAAUCACUUUAUUUUUUCAUCCAAAUACAACGUGAAAUUAGUGAAUUCAAGGCAGAACAUCAACAGCUAGUGCACGCAUGGCUGCGACUCAAGAAAAAUCCAUUGUUGUUCGAAAAACCGAUGCAACCACUGCCGCCAAAGAUUCGCAAUAUCACCGUUGUACCGUUGUGUGAUAAUAAACUCAAACACAUCAGAUUCGAUCAUACGGAUUUGUUAGCACUAUUGGCUCGAUGGAAACUGAUUCCAGAAGAAUUUGGUGGCAAAGAUGGAGGAAGUUCUAUGUAUAGCAAAAAUCAUUUUGAAGAAAACCCAUACGACGCUUGGAAUAUUUUAUUCGACAUGAAGAAUAUAAAUGAACUCAAAAGACCAAACCAGCAAAUUCACCGUAUGAUUAUGUGCGAUAGCGUUUCGGCUUCGGUAUUAUUCGAAACACCAAAACGUGAGAAGACCGAAUUCAAUCGCGAACGAAUCAAACAAAAACUUGAAGCCGGUGAUUACACGUAUAUCAUCCCACUGAAUGUUCAGGGUGAUGUUGCUGCUCCACAGACAGUUGUUUGGCACCGCGAUAUUGUUGCUGCAAAAUGCAUUAUGCUCAAAGGACUUUGCCUGAUUCGUUGAGAAGACCACCAAACAAUGUCAACUGACAGCAGCACUGAAUCCAUAAAUUAUUAGAUAAAACAAAUAUUAUAACGAUUAGUUAGCGUAGCUAGGCUUGACACCAUUUUUGUUACACAAAUCUUGUGGCCUUGUUGUGCGUUCAUAAGAACAGUACAACGGUAGUCUGGAGGGAAGAAGCCCGUAGAAAGAAUAUUAACGUUAUGAUUAUUAAAAAUAAUGUACAGC